GAUGAACGCUGGCGGCGUGCCUAAUACAUGCAAGUCGAGCGAACAGAUAAGGAGCUUGCUCCUUUGAAGUUAGCGGCGGACGGGUGAGUAACACGUGGGUAACCUACCUAUAAGACUGGGAUAACUUCGGGAAACCGGAGCUAAUACCGAUAACCUUUAGAACCGCCUGGUUUUAAAGUGAAAGAUGGUUUUGCUAUUACUUAUAGAUGGACCCGCGCCGUAUUAGCUAGUUGGUAAGGUAACGGCUUACCAAGGCGACGAUACGUAGCCGACCUGAGAGGGUGAUCGGCCACACUGGAACUGAGACACGGUCCAGACUCCUACGGGAGGCAGCAGUAGGGAAUCUUCCGCAAAGGGCGAAAGCCUGACGGAGCAACGCCGCGUGAGUGAUGAAGGGUUUCGGCUCGUAAAACUCUGUUAUUAGGGAAGAACAAAUGUGUAAGUAACUGUGCACAUCUUGACGGUACCUAAUCAGAAAGCCACGGCUAACUACGUG
rnacentral:rRNA from 1 species